rnacentral:rRNA from 1 species
CCUACGGGUGGCUGCAGUGAGGGAUAUUGGUCAAUGGGGGAAACCCUGAACCCGCAACGCCGCGUGAGGGAAGACGGUUUUCGGAUUGUAAACCUCUGUUCUCUGUGAAGAUAAAGACGGUAGCAGAGGAGGAAGCUCGGGCUAACUACGUGCCAGCAGCCGCGGUAAUACGUAGGGAGCAAGCGUUGUCCGGAUUUACUGGGUGUAAAGGGUGCGUAGGCGGCCCUGCAAGUCUGAAGUGAAAUCCCUGGGCUUAACCCGUGAACUGCUUUUGAAACUGUAGGGCUUGAGUGAGGUGAAGGCAGGCGGAAUUCCCGGUGUAGCGGUGAAAUGCGUAGAGAUCGGGAGGAACACCAGUGGCGAAGGCUGCCUGCUGAGCUUUAACUGACGCUGAAGCACGAAGGCGUGGGUAGCGAACAGGAUUAGAUACCCCGGUAGUC